UGGGGAAUAUUGGACAAUGGGCGCAAGCCUGAUCCAGCCAUGCCGCGUGAGUGACGAAGGCCUUAGGGUUGUAAAGCUCUUUCGCCCGCGACGAUGAUGACGGUAGCGGGAGAAGAAGCCCCGGCUAACUCCGUGCCAGCAGCCGCGGUAAUACGGAGGGGGCUAGCGUUGUUCGGAAUUACUGGGCGUAAAGCGCGCGUAGGCGGUGCGUCACGUCAGGGGUGAAAGGCCUGGGCUCAACCUGGGAACGGCCUCUGAGACUGGCGCGCUGGAGUCCGGGAGAGGGUAGCGGAAUUCCCAGUGUAGAGGUGAAAUUCGUAGAUAUUGGGAAGAACACCGGUGGCGAAGGCGGCUACCUGGCCCGGGACUGACGCUGAGGCGCGAAAGCGUGGGGAGCAAACAGGAUUAGAUACCCGCGUAGUCC
rnacentral:rRNA from 1 species